rnacentral:misc_RNA from 1 species
CAGCGACUGGGGUGAAGUCGUAACAAGGUAGCCGUAGGGGAACCUGCGGCUGGAUUACCUCCUUUCUAAGGAUGAAUGAAAGUAAAAUUUCAUUCUAAAUAAUAUACAUCGGUAAUGUUGACCGUCCUCAUUUCUCUUCUUAAAGUAAUGUUUCCUUCUUGUAGGGCCGGUAGCUCAGUUGGUUAGAGCACACCCUUGAUAAGGGUGGGGUCGAAAGUUCGAGUCUUUCUCGGCCCACCACACUUAACUGGGGGAUUAGCUCAGCUGGGAGAGCGCCUGAUUUGCAUUCAGGAGGUCAGCGGUUCGAUCCCGCUAUCCUCCACCAGGAAACAUUUAGUUAUAAAAACUGUAAAUAAAUUUAAUAAUUAAUAUCAAUAUCUAUAUCCGAACAUUAGUAAUGUUAUUAGCUAAUGUUCAAAAUAAAAAUUUGAUCACAACAUGGAUAAUUUUUCUUUUAAAAAGAAUUUUUUUCUGUGCAUAAAUCAAGCGUUUAAGGGCGUGUAGUGGAUGCCUUGGCACUGAAAGCCGAUGAAGGACGUGAUAUACUGCGAUAAGUUUCGGGGAGCUGUAUGUAAGUUUUGAUCCGAAAAUUU